UGGGGAAUAUUGCACAAUGGGCGCAAGCCUGAUGCAGCCAUGCCGCGUGUAUGAAGAAGGCCUUCGGGUUGUAAAGUACUUUCAGCGAGGAGGAAGGCGUUGUGGUUAAUAACCGCAGCGAUUGACGUUACUCGCAGAAGAAGCACCGGCUAACUCCGUGCCAGCAGCCGCGGUAAUACGGAGGGUGCAAGCGUUAAUCGGAAUUACUGGGCGUAAAGCGCACGCAGGCGGUCUGCCAAGUCGGAUGUGAAAUCCCCGGGCUCAACCUGGGAACUGCAUCCGAAACUGGCAGGCUAGAGUCUUGUAGAGGGGGGUAGAAUUCCAGGUGUAGCGGUGAAAUGCGUAGAGAUCUGGAGGAAUACCGGUGGCGAAGGCGGCCCCCUGGACAAAGACUGACGCUCAGGUGCGAAAGCGUGGGGAGCAAACA
rnacentral:rRNA from 1 species